rnacentral:rRNA from 1 species
CCUACGGGAGGCAGCAGUGAGGAAUAUUGGUCAAUGGUCGGGAGACUGAACCAGCCAAGCCGCGUGAGGGAUGAAGGUACAGAGUAUCGUAAACCUCUUUUGUCAGGGAACAAAGGCGGGGACGUGUCCCCGGAUGAGUGUACCUGAAGAAAAAGCAUCGGCUAACUCCGCGCCAGCAGCCGCGGUAAUACGGAGGAUGCGAGCGUUAUCCGGAUUUAUUGGGUUUAAAGGGUGCGCAGGCGGUCUGUUAAGUCAGCGGUCAAAGCCCGGGGCUCAACCCCGGCCCGCCGUUGAAACUGGCAGUCUAGAGUUGGAGAGAAGUAUGCGGAAUGCGCGGUGUAGCGGUGAAAUGCAUAGAUAUCGCGAAGAACUCCGAUUGCGAAGGCAGCAUGCCGGCUCCACACUGACGCUGAGGCACGAAAGCGUGGGUAGCGAACAGGAUUAGAUACCCGGGUAGUC